AUUUUUGUGGAUUAUUUGUGUUGGAAUAUAUUACCCCAGUGAAGAAAGAGACGCGUCUAAAGUGGCCACGGCACGGCGACCCGUAACAGAAAUGCCAGAAUCUGCACUGAACUCCAAUUCCCAUAAUGCACCUCGGCCUACAAACAUUAACACCUAGGACUACUCUGCCUGCCAACACAGCAACACAAACACAUUCACCUGAUUCCUGUUUACACUCCUGGAAAUGAAAUGUUUUAUGUAGUAAAUAUUUUAAUUACUUUAAAUAUACAUUGAGUUAUUUUUAUAUUUAAUACAAUAAUGAAAAUAAUAGUUUGUGCCUUUCACGGUUUGUAAUACAGUCAUAAUAGAUGUCAUUAAGUGAGUUUUAAUGUUAUAUAUAUAUAUAUAUAUGUUAUAUAUGUUAUAUAUGUUAUAUAUAUUAUAUAAAUAAGACAUGUUAUUGUAAUCUUUAAACACACUGUCAGUUACUAGUAAAUUAGGUUCUUACAGUUUUGUCGUCUACUGGCGAAACUAAUGAAGAAAAGUUGCUACUGACGCCGUGUUUCUUGUAGUUUGUUUUUAAAAAGCUGUCGUUUAGUUAACAUAACGUCCGUCUCUUCAGCAGUGUCGUGUGCUUUCUGUGACGUAAACAUUAAGGAGUGGACGCUGCAAAUGGCUAAAACACUUGUGGUGAUUUCGGGCAAAGUAUUUUUACUUCUACAGAAGUUUUUCCAAAAUUCGUUUGACUUAUGAGACUUAUUUUUAUUAUUAAUCCUGCAUGUAGAUAAUGCUGUAUUUGUGCAACACAAUAGAAGGGCGCAGGUUUGUUUUUUGCCUUUUUGGCCAGAAAAUAAAGGUCUGUCUCAGACUGUU